CGUGCAAGGCCGGCAUCUCACUGCUUCUUAGCGUGAGACUGUCAGAGGCCUAAUGUUAGUUGUUAGGAUGGACAUUUUGAAAAUCCGGCAGGCAGGGACAGCGGACCGGUUGAUGGAAUGUUGGACUAUUUUACAGUAGAUUUGAAGGAAGUUAGAAUUGAGAACUUUUGGAAUAGUUUGAAGAAGAACCACCUGUGGACUAUUGCUUCUUUUUUACUACCCCUGUUUAUUUUUUGUCUCCCCUCUCCUCCUCUUUCACUCCCUCCCUAACCCCAUUUCCUGCCCACCUCUCCGUACCCCUCUCUUCCCCUCUCGUCUUUUCUCUGCUGUAUCUCAUUCCUGGACUGAUUUAUUUGGCCCAGCUUUCUCCAGAGUGCUCUGGAAAGCACCGUUCUAUAUUUGUCGGCUGCUGAAGCUAUCUUCUCUAUCGUGGAUGAGGCUGAAUCCUGCUCCUCCUUUGGGAAGGUGUGGACCCUAACCCUAACCCUGUCACACCUGUACCACCUCCAGCCUCCUCACCACUGAACAGACUACUGGCCUCCCGGGAUUAAUAAGACUUUUUUCCUUCCUUGGCUUCAAAACCCUGAAUUAUUUUAUUUUUUUCAGGACAGGUGGACUUCACUAUUGUGGUGUUGCGCCACAAUAUCAAUCACAUGCUGAGUUUGAAUGUAGUUGGAACCAAGGGAAAGCUUUGGAACUGAGGCUCCAGUCAAACUCUGCACUUCAACCUCAUUGCCAACAGAAGCUCUAAGCUUUCAGAACGACUUUUCC